UACAGAGGGUGCAAGCGUUGCUCGGAAUCAUUGGGCGUAAAGGGCAAGUAGGUGGUCUUAUUUGUCUAGGGUGAAAUCCUUGAGCUUAACUCAAGAAGUGCCCUAGAAACGGUGAGACUCGAGUUCUGGAGAGGGUCGUGGAAUUCCCGGUGUAGCGGUGAAAUGCGUAGAGAUCGGGAGGAACACCAGAGGCGAAGGCGGCGACCUGGACAGAUACUGACACUCAACUGCGAAAGCGUGGGGAGCAAACAGG
rnacentral:rRNA from 1 species